UAUCAUGUGACACAUAUGAAGAGGCCU
rnacentral:piRNA from 1 species